CUAACUAGGAUUCCCUCAGUAGCGGCGAGCGAAGUGGGAGAAGCUCGAGGUUUAAAAUCAGUAAAUGUUGUUUACUGAACUGUAGCCCAGAGGGGCGCAAUCAGGAAAAACCCAUGAUCCAAAUUCCUUGGAAUAGGAUACCAGAGAGGGUGAUAGUCCCGUAAACGAUCUAGGUCUGUUUUUUCUGGCGAUGCGCCCCCGUCGAGUCGAGUUGCUUGGGAGUGCAGCUCUAAUCGGGUGGUAUACUUCAUCCAAAGCUAAAUAUGGACAAGAGACCGAUAGCAAACAAGUACCGUGAGGGAAAGGUGAAAAGAACUUUGAAAAGAGAGUGAAAUAGCGCUUGAAACCGUUAGGAGGAAAGCGAAUGGAGUUGCUAUAUGACCGAGAUAUCUCAAACUGGCACGUAAGUUGGUUUCAGUGUAGUGAUCUCGUGUCUUCGUUCGUAGAAGACUGUCUAUCCUGGCGCGUGCUUAAAUCUCGAUAUGUUAUAUAUGGAGAAUUUAAAGGCUGUCCAGACGAAAUUAUAACGAUGGCUUAUAAUCUCAAAAAGAAUAGUAAGAGUAGAAUCAACAUGCUUGCAGGUUUAUUCUAUAUAUUAUUUCUAUGACGGACGGAAGGGCUUCAUUCG
rnacentral:rRNA from 1 species